rnacentral:rRNA from 1 species
UACGUAGGGGGCAAGCGUUGUCCGGAAUUAUUGGGCGUAAAGCGCGCGCAGGCGGUUUUUUAAGUCUGGUGUAUAAACCUUGGGCUCAACUUAAGGAGGCACUGGAAACUGGGGAACUGGAGUGUAGGAGAGGAAAGUGGAAUUCCACGUGUAGCGGUGAAAUGCGUAGAGAUCGGGAGGAACAUCCGUGGCGAAGGCGGCCAUCUGGAUCAACACUGACGCUGAGGCACGAAAGCGCGGGGAGCAAACAGG